UGAUGGUUUGUUAAGGAGUCGAAACACGCGUUUUUAAAAAAUUGUUUUUUUUUUUUGAUGAUUUUUUAAUAAAACUUGUUUGGGUCUGAUGAUGGUUUGUUAAGGAGUCGAAACACGCAUUUUUGAAAACUUAUUUUUUUUUUGGUGAUUUUUUAAUAAAACUUGUUUAGGUCUGAUGAUGGUUUGUUAAGGAGUCGAAACACGCGUUUUUAAAAAAUUGUUUUUUUUUUUGAUGAUUUUUUAAUAAAACUUGUUUGGGUCUGAUGAUGGUUUGUUAAGGAGUCGAAACACGCG